rnacentral:rRNA from 1 species
AGAAUCAACGCUGGCGGCGUGCCUAACACAUGCAAGUCGAACGAGAAAGUGGAGCAAUCCAUGAGUAAAGUGGCGACCGGGUGAGUAACACGUGACUAACCUACCUUCGAGUGGGGGAUAACCUCGGGAAACCGAGGCUAAUACCGCAUAACAUCGUGAGAUCAAAGCAGUAAUGCGCUGGAAGAGGGGGUCGCGGCUGAUUAGCUAGUUGGCGGGUAAUGGCCCACCAAGGCGACGACGGGUA